rnacentral:tRNA from 1 species
UAAGAUUUUAAGUUAAUUUAUAAAACUAUUAAUCUUCAAAAUUAAAAAUAAAUUUUUUAAAUCUUA